rnacentral:antisense_RNA from 2 species
CUUCAGCGAGCCCAGCCACAGCGGGCGGUCGGCGGUGCGGCUCUGCCCGUACGUGGCCAGCAGCGCCUGUGCCUC